CUGCUGCUCUGCUGCCGCUACGGGGCCUGCAAAAGGGGCUGAGCGGGUGCGGCAGCAGCAGCAGAGCACUUGCUGCAGCAGCCGCUGCAGCAGCAGCA
rnacentral:snoRNA from 1 species